CGGCUUAGAGUUUGAUCCUGGCUCAGAUUGAACGCUGGCGGCAUGCCUUACACAUGCAAGUCGAACGGCAGCACGGGAGCAAUCCUGGUGGCGAGUGGCGAACGGGUGAGUAAUAUAUCGGAACGUGCCCAGUCGUGGGGGAUAACGUAGAGAAAUUUACGCUAAUACCGCAUACGAUCUAAGGAUGAAAGCGGGGGAUCGCAAGACCUCGCGCGAUUGGAGCGGCUGAUAUCAGAUUAGGUUGUUGGUGAGGUAAAAGCUCACCAAGCCGACGAUCUGUAGCUGGUUUGAGAGAACGACCAGCCACACUGGGACUGAGACACGGCCCAGACUCCUACGGGAGGCAGCAGUGGGGAAUUUUGGACAAUGGGCGAAAGCCUGAUCCAGCAAUG
rnacentral:rRNA from 1 species